AGUGAACGCUGGUGGCAGGCCUAACACAUGCAAGUCGAGCGGCAGCGCGUCCGACCACCCUCGGGUGGUCGGAUGGCGGCGAGCGGCGGACGGGUGAGGAAUGCAUCGGAAUCUGCCUCGUUGUGGGGGAUAACGUAGGGAAACUUACGCUAAUACCGCAUACGACCUACGGGUGAAAGUGGGGGACCUUCGGGCCUCACGCGAUGAGAUGAGCCGAUGCCGGAUUAGCUAGUUGGCGGGGUAAAGGCCCACCAAGGCGACGAUCCGUAGCUGGUCUGAGAGGAUGAUCAGCCACACUGGAACUGAGACACGGUCCAGACUCCUACGGGAGGCAGCAGUGGGGAAUAUUGGACAAUGGGGGGCAACCCUGAUCCAGCCAUGCCGCGUGUGUGAAGAAGGCC
rnacentral:rRNA from 1 species